UUUAUCGCCAUUAGAUGGGCCCGCGUAGGAUUAGCUAAGUUGGUGAGGUAAUGGCUCACCAAGGCAACGAUCCUUAAGCUGGUUUUGAGAGAAUGACCAGGCCACACUGGGACUGAGACACGGCCCAGACUCCUACGGGGAGGCAGCAGUGGGGAAUCUUGGACAAUGGGCGCAAGCCUGAUCCAGCCAUGCCGCGUGAGUGAAGAAGGCCUUCGGGUUGUAAAGCUCUUUCGGCCGGGAAGAAAUCGCAUGGGUGAAUACCCUGUGUGGAUGACGGUACCGGAACAAGAAGCACCGGCUAACUACGUG
rnacentral:rRNA from 1 species